rnacentral:rRNA from 1 species
AUUGAACGCUGGCGGCAGGCCUAACACAUGCAAGUCGAGCGAAUGAGGGAAGCUCGCUUCCCGAUUUAGCGGCGGACGGGUGAGUAAUGCCUAGGAAUCUGCCUAUUAGUGGGGGAUAACGUUCCGAAAGGAACGCUAAUACCGCAUACGUCCUACGGGAGAAAGUGGGGGAUCUUCGGACCUCACGCUAAUAGAUGAGCCUAGGUCGGAUUAGCUAGUUGGUGAGGUAACGGCUCACCAAGGCGACGAUCCGUAGCUGGUCUGAGAGGAUGAUCAGCCACACUGGAACUGAGACACGGUCCAGACUCCUACGGGAGGCAGCAGUGGGGAAUAUUGGACAAUGGGCGAAAGCCUGAUCCAGCCAUGCCGCGUGUGUGAAGAAGGUCUUCGGAUUGUAAAGCACUUUAAGUUGGGAGGAAGGGUUGUAAGCUAAUAUCUUGCAGCUUUGACGUUACCAACAGAAUAAGCACCGGCUAACUCUGUGCCAGCCGCCGCGGUAAUAC